GAGGAUCUACGGCAGGCUUACACAUGCAGUCGAGGGGUAUAGUAGCAAUACUAGAGACCGGCGCACGGGUGCGUAACGCGUAUGCAAUCUACCUUUCACAAAGGAAUAGCCCAGAGAAAUUUGGAUUAAUGCCUUAUAGUAUUACGACUUCACAUGGAGAUGUAAUUAAAGAUUUAUCGGUGAAAGAUGAGCAUGCGUCCCAUUAGCUAGUUGGUAAGGUAACGGCUUACCAAGGCAACGAUGGGUAGGGGUCCUGAGAGGGAGAUCCCCCACACUGGUACUGAGACACGGACCAGACUCCUACGGGAGGCAGCAGUGAGGAAUAUUGGUCAAUGGGCGCAGGCCUGAACCAGCUAUGCCGCGUGCAGGAUGACGGUCCUAUGGAUAGUAAACUGCUUUUAUACAGGAAGAAACACUCCCUCGUGAGGGAGCUUGACGGUACUGUAGGAAUAAGGAUCGGCUAACUCCGUGCCAGCAGCCGCGGUAAUACGGAGGAUCCAAGCGUUAUCCGGAAUCAUUGGGUUUAAAGGGUCCGUAGGCGGCUUAAUAAGUCAGUGGUGAAAUCCCUACGCUUAACGUAGGAACGGCCAUUGAUACUGUUAGGCUUGAAUUAUUAGGAAGUAACUAGAAUAUGUAGUGUAGCGGUGAAAUGCUUAGAGAUUACAUGGAAUACCAAUUGCGAAGGCAGGUUACUACUAAUUGAUUGACGCUGAUGGACGAAAGCGUGGGUAGCGAACAGGAUUAGAUACCCUGGUAGUCCACGCCGUAAACGAUGGAUACUAGCUGUUCGGAGCAAUCUGAGUGGCUAAGCGAAAGUGAUAAGUAUCCCACCUGGGGAGUACGUUCGCAAGAAUGAAACUCAAAGGAAUUGACGGGGGCCCGCACAAGCGGUGGAGCAUGUGGUUUAAUUCGAUGAUACGCGAGGAACCUUACCAAGGCUUAAAUGUAGAUUGACCGGUUUGGAAACAGAUCUUUCGCAAGACAAUUUA
rnacentral:rRNA from 1 species